rnacentral:lncRNA from 1 species
UUUGCUUCUGAUUUGCCCAUGGGGGUCGGAGGUCAGUCAGGGAAUUUUUGUCUCCAAAUAUCAGAGAAACAGAGGAGUAGUGGCUUCAGCAGUGCUGGCAGAGACCCUGGGUCUGGGUUGGAGAGACCAGCAUUUGAGUCCUGUGCACUUGGCACUCUGCCUGGAAGGUGGGAGUGACAGCGCUCCUUCCUGGGUCGUGGGAGGUGGCAGGUGCAGCCGUGUGCCGACCUGGAGCGUGGGACAUGCUCUGAGAAGGCAGCUGUGCCUUCUUCUGGGUGACACAAUAAGUAGACACCACUGCCUUGUGGGGGGCAAUGGGCAGGCACGGCGGUGGCCUCCACCCGACAGCGCCGAGGGGCUGGCGAGGGGCGCUUGUCUCCCGUUUAUAGGUGAGUGAAGCGAGCCCCAGGAAGUUCCCGGGCUUUUGCGAAGGCGCUGGGGUGGCUGGGCCUGGGUUGCGGGGUACGGCUCCCCAUCCCGGGACCAUGGGCUACGCUUAGCCGAGGCCCGCGGCGCCGUCCCCAUCCUGGAUUUCUGCACAGGGGCCUGGGUGUUCCCGUUGAGGGGAGAGACUGCCAGCCUGGGUACCGGGAGUUCCCGGAGAGUCCACUUUGCGGGGGGCGCUGAGCACCGUGUAAUUUCAGUCCUGGGCUAAUACUGAGAACCACAGCUGUGCACAAUGCACCAGGAUAGAGCACUGGAAGUUUCCAUGGCCUGGGUCCUCUGUGCCCCAGCACGUGCCCCACAUACGUUGCGUUUGGGGCCCCGGCCACUUCCAUUCAGGAAACCCCCACCCCUCUUGUCCUUCUCCGGCUGGAACCUGCAUUUUUGUGUCUCAUCUGUAGGUUUCAGGGUUCAGAGGUCACAGGUCUCAUGACACUACCCCACCCACCUGGCUCUUUCCUGACCCCUCUGGCACCCUGACCAAAGAGCUCUGGCUCCCCUCAGGGUGUGGUUAGAAAAGGAACCCACAGCCCAUCAGAGGCUCCAAGCCAAAGCGUUGGUGCCUGGCUGUGGGUGGCCGUGGGUGGCCCUGGGCAGCGCCGGGCAGGGCUGGGCAGGGCCGGCGGGGAGUCUGUGGCUGCGGUUCAGAGACUGGUGCAGUGCUUGCCUCUCUCUGUGUGAGACGCUGUGGGGCAGUGUCCCCUGUCCCUCAGCCGUGGGCGUGGGGGUUUGUACACUGAGUGCCUGAUGGACACGGCGAUAAGCGGCCAGCAUUCUCUUGCUGAGGCCCUGCUGUUCCUUCCUGCCAACAGUGCUCUCCAUCUCCCACCCCCCCAUCUCUGAGCGCCGGACCCCCACACCGCCUAAUGCCGCCCUCCUCCUCCUCCAGGGAGCCUGCCCGGAUGUCCCCUGUCCUGCUGGCUCCUGGGGACACAGAGCUGGUGCUCAGGAGCUGUGUGCCAAGCAAGCAGAGGUGUGAGCCUUUCUCUGAAGGCCAGAGGCACUUGGUGAGGGGGCUGCGUGUUGCCCUGACGCCGACUCAGUGUGUCCCCCCGAGAGUGUGGGUCACCGGUGAAGCCCGGGCCAGCAGGUGUGAGCGGCGGAGGGCAAAUCCCGAGCGCAGAGCUGGAGGGGUCUCCCGCUGCAGUUUUUUCCAGGAGAGCUGAUGUGGCUGACUGGGAAUUAUGUACAUUAGACGGACCACGCUGUCUUCAGUGUUUUUUGCAUUUAUUGGAAGCUUUAAUGUUCUUGGGUAAUGAAAUCCAUUAUCUGGUUUUCAGUGGAAUACUUGCAAAAGAAAAUUAUUGGAACGAAUAAACAAUGCAAUAUUUGUACCCAAACAUUCCUUUCAAAUAUAAUGAAAAACAUUUCUCCAACACUUGCCGCGCUGUGGCUGUUUGGCCAACUCUAAAUGGCGUCGUAAAACAAAAGGAAGAAGCGGCAUUAUUAGUCUUCACGGGAUGUUUGCUCUGUGUUUUCUUGGAAGGAUCUGGGGCAUAAACACGGAGUCUGAGAUGAGCCGGAGGGCUGGCCCGGCAGCUCUCUUCGCGGGUGUAAAACUGAGGCCCAGGGCGGGCUGGCCUUGCCACACACGGGUGAAGGGUCACGGCCAAGGUUCUUCCUUCGCUGGCUCCCUGUCUCCUCACCGCCAGGAAUGUCACCGGGAUGUCCCCGGGGGCCCACCCUGAGGACUCUUGGGGGUCAGAUGCGAUGGUGGCGGGGAGGUGCUUCGUAAACCCUUCUUGUGACUAGAAUCCAACUCCCUGGAGGGUGUGAUUCCUCUCCGUUGUCACCUAAAAAGCAAGACAUGUCACUCCACGUGCUGUGAGAAGAGACGCCCUAAGGAGGAGAGCCCUGGGCAGGGUGUCAGGACCUGAGGUCUGAGCCCAGCGCUUCCGUAGCUGGGAGGCCCCGGGCUCAGAUGCCAGCUCAGCCGCUCAUGGUGGUGGCCACGGGCCACGGAGCCUUCCCCAGCCCGGGGGGGCUCCUCUGUACGGGGUGGGGGCGGGGGGGCAGCUCCGUGACCGCACAGGUCGCAGCAGGGCUGGAUGGAGAGACGGUGUGUGGAGAGGUUUUGCCAGCUGGGGGUGCUCUACGCAAGUUCACCACGGAGAUGGCCCUUACCCUCCUCCUGGUGUCAUAUGGGGCAGCCUGGCCUGGAUUCAGCCUUGACCUCCACACCCCAGGUGUGCGACCUGGCUGUGUGACUCUGGGCAAGUAGCUUCACCUCUCUGGGCCCUCUCGCGCCUCAUCUGCGAAAGAGGAGGAUGGCCUCAUCUUGACCUUUUCGGAGGAGAAUUAGAGACUGCAUCCUGACGUGCCCAGCAGGUGACAGCAUUUUGGAAAUGGUGGCAGUCGUCAGUAUCACACGCUCUGUGACUUUGACUGGGCACCUGGCGGGUCUCGUCCUCAAAGUUUUCACCCUGAGUUGAUUUUUGAAGGUCCCUGUCCUUUGUUUAAUUUUAUUCAUCUUUUGCAAAAAUACAUCAGUACCGUAAAAGGGCCGAUGUUGCAGAGGUGGGCUGUUCCGUGCACGGUCUCUGUGGGAUGGGCUGGCCCCGCCUUAGGCCAGGGCGUGGAAAGAACUCGGAGAGCCCGUGUCCGGGGCUUGAGGGAAGGUGGCUCGGUGGCCCUCGGGCCAGCAGAUCGGGCCAGCCUUCCCUCCUGAAGCAUCCUGGGCCCUCACUGCUGCUGUAAGUGCCUUUGGCAGUGGGCUGUGGAUGAUGAGGCUUAUCAGUCGCGACGUCUGGAUCACGCUUUAGAAAACAAAGAGCCCAAACCUCAGCGGCUUCAAACAGUCCUUUCUUGUGAUGGUUUACGGACUGACCGGACCCACCUGCCUGGGUCUUGCUCGGUUGUGGUCAGAGGAGGAUGGGGCUGGAGUCCCGACUGAUGGCCUGGCCGUCCACAGGGGCGUCCUCACUCUUGUCUUGGUGCCUGGGCUGGGGCGGCAGGGACGGCCUGGGGCUGGCUGGUGUCCCCCUCUCUGUGCUGGCUCCUCGUGGCUUUGGGCUUCGCCACAGCACGGCGGUCCCAAGAGCAAGCAUUUCAAGAGGCAGGAAGUGGAGGAAGCUAAGACCCAGAGCCCAGACCCUGGCCCAGCAUCGCUUCCAGGCGUCCUUUGCAGAGCUGCCCAGGAUCAAGGGGAGGGGACACAGAUUUCACCUCUCGGUGGGAGUGACAUCAGAGUGUUCGUGGUCUUUCUUCUCCCGCAGCCCCCAUCUGCGAGCGUUCGCCUGGGACCAGAUGCUCAUCAAAGGCUCUUAUCCCCAUUAAGCCUCCAAGUUGCCUGGGAAGCGGGUGCUGUGAGAUGCUCGCAUUUACAGACGAGGAGAUAAAGGGGGAGGGGAGGCCGGCUGCGGGCCUCACAGGGGCAUGUGGGGGAGCCAGAUGCGAACCCAGGCUCCCUUCCCGCAGCUGUGCAGAAGUGUGUGAGCUACAGCAAGAAAGAGCCUGGGGCCUGCAGCCUUCUCUUCUCCAGUAAGAGCUGGAUUCGUGGGCUGCGUGUCCCCAAGCGGGCCCUGCGCGCCGGCCUCUGCCAUCCUCGGCAGGCUCAGGCAAGAACGGGUCUUUCAGAGGAAAGGGUGACAGUGCUUCCGCGAGCAACGAUCACGUCACCUGGGCCUCCUGGACUUGGCGGGUUCUUUUCUGUCGGCUGCUCCGUCCAUAAUUAAAAAAGGCCCACAGAUGCUCUUGAACGAGAAACACACUGGCUCUUCUGCUGUGGUUUAAAACAAGCGGUUGAUUCCAGAGACGUUUCCUUGUGAGUAUUAAUAAAAACAACAUGCAUUUUUGUGUGUUUCCAUAGAGACUCCCCAAGAUUUAUGUCCGCGAGACAUAUCUUUGGAUCUCAUGGAAUAAUUAUCUUCCACACGUCCCCUGAUGUUCUGCAGGGCUCCCCGGCCGAGGGGCAGAUGUUGGGUAUGUUUGUGUAUGAAAUAAAGGCAGGGCGGGCAGCCGCCCGAGGGCUUUCAUGUACUCGAGGGGGUGGGGUGUCGGGCACAAAGAGGCGAGCGAGAAACAUCUGGGCACGCAGCGCUGUCGCAGCCGCAGUUGGGGCUGUUUAGAAGUCGGCUUACGUCUGCCAAGAACAGCGGGUUCCCUUUGGCUUUGCCGCCUCAUAAGAGAAGCAGGCUUUCACUGAAGGCAGAAGGCCUUUUAGUACAGACUGGUUGCCCGAACCGCAGCGGCACCAGGGCACUGGCCAGACCGCUGAGGGCAGCAGCCCUAGGCUGUGUGGAAUCCGGGGAGUUUGCUGGAAUGGGAGUUAGAGCAGAGUCCUUGUCCCUGCUCUGCCUCCAGAAAGCUGAGUGACUUGGGGUAAGAUAGAGCUCUUUGGUCCUCAGUCUCUUCAUCUCUAAAAUGGGCGCACGAGGAUAAUAUCCUUUCAUUUGUAGAGGACAGAAGCCCAGUUCAA